rnacentral:sRNA from 1 species
AGACCUUUAUCCUGAUGUCAGCACUGCCAGCAACAAGUCAGAAGGCCUCGCUGUCCUGGCUGUUCUCAUUGAGAUGGGCUCCUUCAAUCCAUCCUAUGACAAGAUCUUCAGUCACCUUCAACAUGUAAAGUACAAAGGCCAGGAAGCAUUCAUCCCGGGAUUCAACAUUGAAGAGCUGCUUCCGGAGAGGACCGCUGAAUAUUACCGCUACCGGGGGUCCCUGACCACACCCCCUUGCAACCCCACUGUGCUCUGGACAGUUUUCCGAAACCCCGUGCAAAUUUCCCAGGAGCAGGUAACUGUCGUGCCAGACUCAGCCAGAGUUCACGCGGCACCUCAGUUCCCAUCAUCCCCCAUAUCACAAUCAAUGACUUGAUUUCCUCACUUAGUUUCAUUGGCAGCUCUUCAAAACCUCUCCAAAUAUCACAGGUGUCUGAAAGCACCGCAGAAAUUCCAGGCUGAGCUUCAAAAGAAGUCAAGCUAGGCAAAUGAAUAGAUGUCUCCUAGUUCUUUUUUAAAAAAAGAGCUCUAAAUCUGCAUUUGCUAAUAUGUCCUCAGUG